rnacentral:rRNA from 1 species
UGCAAAGAUUUCUUUGGGUCGGACGAAAAUUAGCCCUUGAGUGCAAAGUCAAAAGGGAACUUGACUACAAGACCCACUCGUCAAGUAGAGAUGAAAGUGCUAAGU